rnacentral:lncRNA from 10 species
GAGGAAAUCUUAAUUUCUUGAUAUUUUAUGUAGAAUAAAUAGUCAAGUUUAUACUAUAACAUCCUGGCAAAAUUGUAACAAGUAAGAGAAGACUGCUUACAUAAAUUCUGUGUCCAUGAAUACUAUAUUAGAUGUUUGUAAAGAGUUAUUGUAACUGUAAUUCUCUAAGCAUGCAGAAGGAAAUGAAAUCUUGAUUAGAUGGUCAGUUAUUAAAGAUCUAACAGGGCACAGAGAUAUAGAUGAUAAUAAAUUAGCAAAAUUAUCCAAGAAAAAAGAUGGUGUCCAAAAAAUUGACAAAGGGAAGAUCCUGUAGUAAGAAAACAUUGAAUUUAGAAACUAGAGAAGCAUAGUCUCAUUUUACAGAUGAACACACUAGAACCCAGAAAAGUUUUUCAAGUCAUGUCCCCCAGGUUACCGGCAGAGGCAGUCUAAUACUCUUUUCCACUCUGUCCUGCUGCCUCCCAGUAAUCACUGAUUAUUUGCACUACUUACAGAGCCUAUUGCUGCUGGCAAAGCUCUUUCUCAAAACAAAUAAAAAAAUCUACUUCACCUCUAGCCUUUUUUGAUUCUUACAACACUGCUCUUCUUGUUCUACUUCCUUCUCUCUUGUCACGUCUUUCCUGUAAGUUUCACUGGCAUUUCAGCUUGCUUCUUCUCCCUCUAAUUUUUUCUUUUUUUGAGAUGGAGUCUUGCUCUGUUGCCCAGGCUGGAGUGCAGUGGCAUGAUCUUGGCUCACUGCAACCCCUGCCUCAUGGGUUCAAGUGAUUCUCUUGCUUCAGCCCCCCAAGUAGCUGGGACUACAGGCAUGCACCACCACACCUGGCUGAUUUUUGUAUUUUUAGUAGAGACAGGGUUUCACUAUGUUGGCCAGGCUGGUUUCGAACUCCUGACCUCAUAAUCUGCCUGUCUCCCCCUCCCAAAGUGCUGGGAUUACAGGUGUGAGCUACCGUGCCCGGCCUCUCCCUCUAAAUUUAUAGCUACUUUCAUGGAUUCAGUUUUCACCUCUAUUGACUCUGUCUCAAACAAACAAAAAAACCCCACAAACUGUGGACUUAGGUGAUAAUGAUGUGUUAAUAUAGGUUCAUUGGUUGUAACAAAUAUACCUUUGUGGUGCAGCAUAUUGAUAGGGGAGGUUGUUGUAUCUGUGUGUGGAGGUAGGGAAGGCGGAUAUGGAAACUCUCUCUACUUUGUGCUCGGUUUUGCUGUGAACCUAAAAUUGAUCUAAAAAGUAAAGUUUAGGCUGGGUGUGGUGGCUCACGCCUGCACUUUGGGAGGCCUAGGCGGGUGGAUCACGUGAGGUCAGGGGUUUGAGACCAGCCUGGGCAAAUGAUGAAACUCCAUCUCUACUUGUAGGGGUGGGUUGCCCCUACACAUCUGUGGGUGUUUCUCGUAAGGUGGGACGAGAGAUUUGGAAAAGAAAAAGACACAGAGACAAAGUAUAGAGAAAGAAAUAAGGGGAACCGGGGAACCAGCGUUCGGCAUAUGGAGGAUCCC